CCUGGGCAGGUGGUGGUGUUGGUUGUGGGCGGUGAGGUCCGGGGCUGUCUGAGAGGUUCGCACUGGUUGAAGACCGAAGCCCCCGGGUCCUCCUCGCCCUGCCGGCCGGGGUAAGCGUCUCUCACGCCGGGGGGGCAGCCGGCCUUCCCCCGGGUCCUCUCCGCUCCGGGAGCGCGGUCAAAGCUCUCCGCCAUGGCCGAGCUGAGAGCGAGCAGAGGCGGACACAGCUCACACGAUCAUCCGCCGGACCCGAGUCUGGUCAGAUUAAUCGAUUAAAGCUGAUCGAGUCCGGUGUGUGUGCUAUCUCGGGCGCGCGGGCGGCGGGGUCACAGCGGGGGGCCGGAGAUCUUAUUUAUUUACUGAAUAUUCCGGUUACAGAUCCAAUCUGGACUACAAACACCUCCCAGC